rnacentral:lncRNA from 1 species
CUAAUGUUCCUACGUGAUUGAUGACUUUGUUCCCUAGGAAUGCUCUUACCCUUACUUGGACUCCUAACCGUAUUAGGCUUAGAGGUAGCCACGAAGAGAGUCUUAGAUGGUCCAGCAAUAGUUGUAUUACCCUCAACAUAUCCUAGACCUCUCUUGUCUCCCACUGGCUUAUUCAUUCCCAAUAGGUUAUCUAAUUUCUUAGUUCCACUAAUGAAUGUCUGAAGAUGGGCAUUAGAUUUUUCCAAUUCAC